AUGUUACUCUUGAGGGGAAUCAUGUUUUUGAGGUUCCUGAUGGUUGUAGGUUGAAGGUUACCUCAACAAAUCCAGGUGUAUCAAUGCAAUUAGAACCCAUCGAAGAUGCAAAGAAAGAUACGGGAAGCUGGUAUUGGAGUUACAAGAUAGAUGGACCUCAUGUAAAGUUGGAAAUGGUAGAAUCUUAAAGGAUAUAUAGCAUAU